rnacentral:rRNA from 1 species
CUACGGGGCGCUGCAGUGAGGAAUAUUGCACAAUGGGGGGAACCCUGAUGCAGCAACGCCGCGUGGAGGAUGACGCAUUUCGGUGUGUAAACUCCUUUUAUAUGUCAAGAAAAUGACGGUAGCAUAUGAAUAAGCACCGGCUAACUCCGUGCCAGCAGCCGCGGUAAUACGGAGGGUGCAAGCGUUACUCGGAAUCACUGGGCGUAAAGGACGCGUAGGCGGGUUGGAAAGUCAGGUGUGGAAUCCUACAGCUUAACUGUAGAACUGCACUUGAAACUUCUAAUCCAGAGUAUGGGAGGGGCAGAUGGAAUUAGUGGUGUAGGGGUAAAAUCCGUAGAUAUCACUAGGAAUACCUAAAGCGAAGGCGAUCUGCUGGAACAUUACUGACGCUAAGGCGUGAAAGCGUGGGGAGCAAACAGGAUUAGAUACCCCCGUAGUC